rnacentral:rRNA from 1 species
AUUGAACGCUGGCGGCAUGCCUUACACAUGCAAGUCGAGCGCGAAAGGGGGCAACCCCGAGUAGAGCGGCGGACGGGUGAGUAACACAUCGGAACGUGCCCAGUAGUGGGGGACAACCUCGAGAAAUCGAGGCUAAUACCGCAUACGACCCACGGGUGAAAGCGGGGGACCCAAAGGAAACUGAGGGCCUCGCGCUAUUGGAGCGGCCGAUGUCCGAUUAGCUAGUUGGCGGGGUAAGAGCCCACCAAGGCGACGAUCGGUAGCUGGUCUGAGAGGACGACCAGCCACACUGGGACUGAGACACGGCCCAGACUCCUACGGGAGGCAGCAGUGGGGAAUUUUGGACAAUGGGGCAACCCUGAUCCAGCCAUGCCGCGUGCGGGAAGAAGG